UACGGAGGGUGCGAGCGUUGUCCGGAAUCACUGGGCGUAAAGGGCGCGUAGGUGGCCCGUCAAGCGCGCGGUGAAAGCCCGGGGCUCAACCCCGGGUCGGCCGUGCGGACUGGCGGGCUCGAGCACUGUAGGGGCGGGUGGAAUUCCGGGUGUAGCGGUGGAAUGCGUAGAGAUGCGGAGGAACACCGAUGGCGAAGGCAGCCCCCUGGGCCAACACUGACGCUCAGGCACGAAAGCGUGGGGAGCAAACAGG
rnacentral:rRNA from 1 species